ACAAGUGAUGCACAAUGCAAUUGCUUACCACUUGCUGACUGAUGCCCAGUUAGUUCCCGAGCAGUGAUUUCCCCCCCUCAGCCCAGGCCAACUCCUCUCAGUUUAUAUAUUAGGCAUGAUGUCACAUGGUAUGGAAUAUUCCUUUGGCCGUUUUGGGUCAGCAGUCCUGGCAGUGUCCCCUCCCAGCUUCUUGUGCCACUCCUGCCUUCCUGCUGACUGGGCAUGAGAACCUGAAAAAUCCUUGACUUAAGACUAAGCAUUACUU